rnacentral:tRNA from 1 species
UCCCCCGUAGCUCAAUUGGCAGAGCGUCCGACUGUUAAUCGGCAGGUUGCAGGUUCGAGUCCCGCCGGGGGAG